rnacentral:rRNA from 1 species
CCUACGGGGGGCAGCAGUGGGGAAUAUUGGACAAUGGGCGAAAGCCUGAUCCAGCCAUGCCGCGUGUGUGAAGAAGGCCUUCGGGUUGUAAAGCACUUUCAGUGGGGAAGAAAGCCUUGGGGCUAAUACCCUCGAGGAAGGACAUCACCCACAGAAGAAGCACCGGCUAACUCCGUGCCAGCAGCCGCGGUAAUACGGAGGGUGCGAGCGUUAAUCGGAAUUACUGGGCGUAAAGCGCGCGUAGGCGGUCUGAUAAGCCGGUUGUGAAAGCCCCGGGCUCAACCUGGGAACGGCAUCCGGAACUGUCAGGCUAGAGUGCAGGAGAGGAAGGUAGAAUUCCCGGUGUAGCGGUGAAAUGCGUAGAGAUCGGGAGGAAUACCAGUGGCGAAGGCGGCCUUCUGGACUGACACUGACGCUGAGGUGCGAAAGCGUGGGUAGCAAACAGGAUUAGAUACCCUAGUAGUC